rnacentral:lncRNA from 1 species
CGGGCCUCUGACCAGCCCACAUGGAGGCAGAAGGCAGGGCUCCUGUCCCAGCAGGCAGUUCUGAGCCAGGAACCAGGUACUGCCUUUACCUGAUGAUGUUGGCUGCAGCCUUCCGCUCCUGGGUCAGGAGCUCCGGGUCGUGCAUGACUUCUUCCAGGAAGCCGAUCACCUUGCAUUUGAGCUCAUCGUUGGUCUCAAAGUCCUGCCGGGAAGGUGUGAUGGGUGGCUCUGGUUACUGUUUUUGAGCUGCUCUGCAGUGGUCUGGGCCCAGGCCAGAGGAAGGAGCUCCAGUUUCUAUUCUGCCCAGGGCAGGCUGACCUGCCUCAUUUCCUUUCUGUUGGCUUCCUGGCAGGGCAUGAGAGGCUCUCCAGGCCUAGAGAAUCUUAGAUAAAGGCACUGGAACCAGAUCAAAGCCCAUCUUUCAGCUGGCUGCACCCCUGGGCCAGGGAGGCACAAACCUACCUGUACCCCUGCUACAGGCAGGGUGGAUAGACAGAGACCCAUUGUCCCUUCCAUGUCCUUUGUUCCCUCCUAGGGAAUCUGAGCAGUCCUCCGGGAACAUCAGGGUGGCACAUUUGAGCUCCCUCCCUUCUGCUGCCCCACUGCCAGCCAUCAGCUCACUCUGCCCGCAGCUGCUUUUGGAAGGCAGCUGGUUCCUGGGGCCAUUGCCUGGUGGUCCCCAGCAGCCUGCCCAGGGAGGGCUCCCACCCACCUGAGAGUGCUUGGACACCCAGUGGCGGAGCACGUUCAAGACACGAUUGGUGGCUGCUCUGCGGAUCACAAACUCCUUGUCUCCAUUCCUCUGGUCUGGGGGAAACCCUGGCAGCAUGCGUGGCAGAGGGGAGAGAGGACAGGUGAGGACAAGAAACAGAGCUUGACACUAGUCUGGAUUUGCCUCUCGGAUCUGGCUGAGCUGGGGAGCGGGGCUAAGAGGUGAGAGCACCCUCCACACCCCAGGAUCCUGGCAGGUGGAGAUGGAAGCAGCUGAGACUGAGCAGUAGCACCAGGGAGAGUGCCCCCACCUUGAGUCUACCUGCUCUUGAGGCCACAUGUUGGGGCAGGGCCUCAGCCCCAGGAGCCUGGCAGGUGGAAGGAGACUUUUCAGUUUUGGGUUGCUGGUGGCUGACCUGAGACGCUGACCGCUACAUCCAUCCACAGAGCUGCUGCGGGAAGGCCUGGAUGCAUCAUGUUAGGGGCUGGUGGGAGUACUCGGGACACGUGGGGCGUAUACCUUUGUCUUGCAAACCCAAAAUCAGGAUGCUCUUGACUCAGUCUGAGAGCAGGGAACUGUGCCAGAAACUCAGCACGUUUUGGGAGACAUAUGGAAGGAAUACCCCCCACUUCCCACCUAUCACCCCUGCACCUUUCUCCAGCUAGGCUAUCCGCUCCCCAUUCUCCCCAUAAGAGUGGCUGGCAGUGGGGAGCCUGCCACUCCCCUGGGUUUGGCCCUAUCACCUACAGAAUAAAGCCCCACUCCUUGCCGGUCGCGUUACCGUGAUCUGACCCUUGCCCACCGCCAGCCCCAUCUUUCACUAUGUCAUGUGGAUCGCUGUAUUAUUUAAGAAAGUCAAAUUGGGCCAUAAAAAUAAGAGAAUUAAAUAAGGAAGACAGAUGAAGCUAAGUACAGAAGAUUUAUACUAGACACAGUAUACCAAGGAGAGCACCUACAUGCUGAACAUAGGAAGGGACAGAGGGACCAAUGGCACUAAAUAGCCAAAUAUUGAUGCUAUGCUUAAUAUUCAUGAGGCAUAUGGAACAUUCAAUAUUUAUUAGGUCUUAAGUCAGCCACCCAUUGGCAAUGGCUAUUCUGACCCUCUGUGUCCCCUGCCCAAGAAAUGCAGAGAAAGGUGUAGCUGUUCUCCAGGUGAACUGACGGCUACAGCUGUGGCCAGGCACUCGUCCCUAUACCAGAGAGAGGGCAAUUCUGUGCCAUUGGCCCAAGUGCUUUCCAUUGCAUGGGCUCCUUGGUUCAAACUUCACUCCAUCAGCAGUGAAGGCUGAUGUGGCAGGGAGAGAGGUGGCACAAAGAAACACUGUGUCAGCAGGAUGCAGGCAGUGUGGUCCUCCCAUCUGCACACACACUAGCCUAACCAGCUAUCUCAUCGCCUUUCCCUGGUGUCUUGCUAUGUGUUUGUAAUUGAUACACUAUUAGCCAGGUGUGGUGGUGCACGCCUGUAGUCCCAGCUACUUGGGAGGCUGAGGUGGGAGGAACACUUGAGCCCAGGAAGUAGAGGCUGCAGUGAGCCGAGAUCACACGACUGCACUCCAGCCUGGGUGACAGAGCGAGACCCUGUCUCAAAGAAAAAAAAAAAAAAUUGAUACAUUAGAUGCCGUAAUGAAGCAUCUUAACUUAGCCUAUGAAUCUGUUCCAAAGCCUCUAGAAUAGUUUGUCUGGUAGUGUACCUGGAGGCCACAAUUGCAUCAAGGUCAUUGCCUGCAUGACAUCACUCUCCUCGACCCUGCACUCUCCCCAAACACCGUGCACUUUUUUGCCUCCGAACCUAUGUUCAUGCUGUUCCCUCUUCCCAGAAUGCCCUUCCCCCUCAGUCGUCUAGCAAACUCCAACUGGUCCUUCGAGGCCAGCUCUAAUGUCCCAUUCCAUAAGAAACCAUCCUCAACUGUGCCAGGUAGAUCUAUCACUCAUCUUCUGGACCUCGCCUGGAUUACACAGAUUCCAUUUUACAGCAUGCACUACACUGCUUUCUAAUAAUCUCUCUAUGUCUCUCUCUCUCUCACUAAACGAUGAAUUUCCCGAGGACGGAGACCCCACCUGCUCAUUUCUGCUUCCCUGGUCCCCUCCCUGGUCCUCCUGUGAAGAAAACCAGGCUUUAGAUUGGUAAGCAGAUGGGUCCUUGAAGUUGUAAGUUUAAUCUGGACAUUCCAUUCACUUUAUCACCAUCAUUAUUCAAAAUUUUGUUAUUUUUUUCUUUCAUAGGUGAUUUUAAUUUUAUUUUUGUUUCAUCCGCACUCUCUCUUUUUUUUGAGACAGAGUUUCACUCUGUCACCCAGGCUGGAGUGCAGUGGUGAGGUCUCGGCUCACUGCAACCUCUGCCUCCUAGGCUCAAGUGAUGCUCUCGCCUCAGCCUUCUGAGUAGCUGGGAUUACAGGCGCAUGCCACCAGGCCUGGCUAAUUUUUGUAUUUUUAGUAGAGACGAGGUUUCACCAUGUUGGUCAGGCUGGUCUUGGACUCCUGACCUUAAGUGAUCCACCCACCUCGGCCUCCCAAAGUUCAUCUGCUCCUUUUGCUGUCUCAAUGGGCACCCUUUCCAGAGCAUGAGUGGGUACUCACUAAACAUAUAAUGGUAAUUGAGUGGGUACUCACUAAACAUAUAAUGGUAAUUCCAGCUGUGAGUUUUAUUGGAUUAUUGAAACGGAUCUAGGAAGUAGGUAGGUAGGUAUUAUCAUGUCCCCCAUUUACAACGUGAGAAACCCAAGCUCGGAAAGGUUAAGCGACUUGUCCAUAUUCACACACAAAGCUAGGGCUGGGGACCAGGUUUACAUACAAAGCUGGGGCUGGGGACGAGGGUCACACACAAAGCUAGGGCUGGGGACCAGGGCUGUUGCCUUCAAGGCCAGACCUUUCUGCUGUACCCCACCACCUGUUCAGUGAUGUAGUCAUGAGGGGAAUAAUUCCUUAUCAACUUGUGCAGAGGCUUAAAGACCUGGUGGACCUGAAACUGCCUCGGCUAGCUCCUGGCACACAGUAGGUUCAUAAAGGACUCACUUCAUCAGACUUGACUUCAGAGUGGUGGCGAGUGGAAACAAAGGAUUUCACACAUUAAAUCAUAUUCUGCAUUAAACGCAUUACAUCUGCAGUUCCCCAGAGCAUGUAUGUGAAGUAGCAAACAGGCCUGGGUUACCCAGAUGAUUGUUCUGGCAACAGCAACAUGGCCCAGAUGGGAGCAGAGUCCUAGCGUGCAGGUGACUGCAAGAGAAUUGUGCCUGGUGCAGGUGAGGGAGGCUGUAUUACCCAGGGCUUGGAGAGCUGCGUUUAGUAGGACAUUGUCUCUGGGGAUUGUUCAAACAAACACAGUGGUCCUGGAGCCUGCGUUUUGGUUUUUCUGGUUUUUGAAAUGUUCUAUAUAUUCAUUUUUUAAUUAGGAAGAGAAAAAUAGUUAUUAAAAAAGAGUACAUAAAGUUUCAUUCCUAAUGUUAUAUUUUAAACAACCUAAUACAGAAAUAAUCCACAUGUACAAAACAGAUGAACCAUAACAAAACUAAGCCAAAGCACCAUAAUAAAAAAAAUUUUUAAAAAUAGAUGUUGGCAUGGAUGUGGUGAAAAGGUAAGACUUCUGUAACCCUUCUACACUGCUGGUGGGAAUGAAAACUAGCACAACCACUAUGGAAAUCAGUGUGGAGAUUCCUUAAAGAAGGAAAAGUGGAACUACCAUUUGAUCCAGCAACCCCACUACUGGGUAUCUACUCAGAGUAAAAGAAGUCAUUACGCAAAAAAGAUCCUUGCUCAUGCAUGUUUAUAGCAGCACAAUUUGCAAAAAUGUGGAACUAACCCAAAUGUCCAUCAAUCAAUGAGUGGAUAAAGAAAUUGUGUUAUAUUUAUAUGAUGGAAUACUACUUGGCCAUAAAAGGGAAUGAAUUAAUGGCAUUCACAGAAACCUGGAUAGGACCGGAGACUAUUAUUCUAAGUGAAAUAACUCAGGGAUGGAAAACCAAACAUUGUAUGUUCUCAUUCAUAAGUGGGACCUAAGAUAUGAGGAUGCAAAGGCAUAAGAAUGACACAGUGGACUUUGGGGACUCAGGGGGAAAGGGUAGGAAGGCGGUGAGGGAUAAAAGACUACAAAUUGGAGCCGGAGGCGGUGGCUCACACCUGUAAUCCCAGCACUUUGGGAGGCUGAGGCAGGCAGAUCACGAGAUGGUCAGGAGAUCGAGACCAUACUGGCUAACAUGGUGAAACCCUGUCUCUACUAAAAAUACAAAACAUUAGCCAGGCAUGGUGGCACACGCCUGUAGUUCCACCUACUCAGGAGGCUGAGGCAGGAGAAUUAUUUGAACCCGGGAGGCAGAGGUUGCAGUGAGCUGAGAUUGCACCACUGUACUCCAGCCUGGGUGACAGAGCAAGACUUGGUCUCAAAAAAACAAAAAACAAAAAACAAAAAACAAAAAACAAACAAAACAAAACAAAACAAAAAAAGGCUACAAAUUGGGGUUCAGUGUAUACUGCUGGGGUGACGGGUGCACCAAAAUCUCACAAACCACCACUAAAGAACUUACUCAUGUAACCAAAUAUCACCUGUUCCACAAAACCUAUGGAAAUAAAAAAUUUAAAAAAAAAACCCAAAAAACUAAGCCAAAGCAAUCAUCCAAAUAGCAAUCACCCAACUCAAAACAAACAAACAAGAAAACAUCCAAAACACCCCCAAAGACAAAGCCCAGCAUCUCUGAACCCCAGUAGCUGGCUCAUCCCAGUGUCCUGGCUGUCACCUUGUGGUACUCAGUCUCUGGAAUGCUGCCUGGUCAAGAUGGGGUUAAGGGCACUUACUUGAUCAUCUGCGGCACAGUGACCUUGGAAUUUUCUUCAAAUGCGUUCAUCAUGAGCCCAUUGCAUCGGAUGUUAUCCACACACUGGAAUCAGAGAGAGGACCCCAGGGUCAGAGCUCUCCAUUCCUGGACCCAGGCCCACCAGGAGCUCUGCCAACUGUAAAGUUCACAUGCCUCAGUCUGAUACAGGGUCCUCAAGCUUCAAGGGCAUUGUCCUGGCAAAGGCAGGGUCAGCGUGGCGCAUCCUUUAGACUUUGGCCGGAAGUCAAGUCUCAGUUGAAUGACCUUGGGGAACUUACUUGACCUCAAGUCUUAGUUUCAUUAUAUGCAAAGUGGGGAUAAUGACUUCUACCUCACUGGGUUGAUUACAAACAACCACUGGGAUGCAAAAUGAAUGCAUCUGACACUGACCAUUCUGUUGCUGACCUCUGGGGUCCAGUGUCAAGGACAAGAUCAGAUCCAUGGUGAUGUGGGAUCUCUCUCCUGGGAGGCCAGCCCAGCAGGGCCUCUGCGCCACUGCACGAGGGUGCUGAACUGUUCUCUCUGUCCUCUGACCACCACAGUGCCAACACUUGGAUGCUGUGGAUGGUUUUCCAUAUGAAGAGUCCAUGGGUGUGGGGCCCUGGAGAAGGCAAGGCUGCUGGCGGGAGGGGCACAGAUGAUUGUACAUUUCACUCGGCCUCCAAAAAUAUUCAAAAUCCAAAUUUUGCUUUGAAUAGGAAGUACCCGCCCAAACAAAAAUAAAAACUGCAUCUCUUGGGGGAGCUGCCUCUUUUCCCCUGCACUGUCCCCUGCCCUGGGUCUUCACAUUUCUGCCAUGAGAGGGUUUCUUCUUGGCAUAGCGAUAGGGAAGGCUUGGUGGCACAUCACAGAAUCUUCUGGUUUUGAGAAUGUGUGUGUUGCAGGGAGGAGGGUGUCAAAGUCAUUGGGAAGUGGCAGCUGAGAGCUGGCACAGUGGGUGGUGGAGCUCCCAGGCCCAGACUUCUGGGCAAGGCCACGACCCCAAAGAGGGAGGCUUCUGUCAUUUGCAUUUCUCAGCCCCACUUCUCCCACCCAUCUGACAAUCUCUCUAGCUUUGGUUCUACCAGCAACUCCAAAACAAAGAAGACUUGGCCAUGGGCUCAGAGUGUUAUGGAGGCAGGAGGGCUUGGGGAAGGGGCCAGAGGACUCCCACCUUGACCCCUUCACUGGCAUCCACAACGGCUGCCAGGAGGGCAGAGGCCUGGUGGGCACCCUCUGGGCAAGCAGCCCCAGGCCUUUGACGGCUGCGGCUCACUGGGGAUGUGAAAGGGCAAAGCUCAGGGUCUGCAGUUUUCUCUAGGGCUUUCUGGGUGUUUUGAAGACAUGUGGGAAGACUCAGAACAGGCACGUGCCAUGCAUCAUCCCACCCGCCUUACUCCUCUGGGACUGCGAGAUGGGCAGGUGGGCCAGAAGGAAGGCUGGGAGCGGCAGUCAGGGGAGCCUGGAAGGGGCACAAAACCAAGAAGGUGGGGAGCAAGCAAGGGAAGCCGUCCUAGGUCCCACGAAGAUGCUGCCCUGCCCUUUCAGUUUCUACAGGCACAGGCCUCCUGCAACCCUCUAGACCAUGGGGGGCCACCAACCUCCCUCCCCUUCUGCUGUUGGCUGCUCUCCUACCACCCCACCCCGCAGAGAGGAUGGCCAAGGCUCCCAGCUGCUGGGAUGGCACAUCCCUGACCCAUCACAGGCCCUUGCUGGGCUCAGGGAGGGGCCUGUCCUGGGGCCUAAACCCCGGUGCUGCUGACAGCCUCUUUAUAGACUCAAGUCUCACCCCUUGUACUUUAGGCACCCAUGGGCAUUCUGGGUCUGCUCACUGGUGCCUGGAAAAGUCUGUGCUUCCUGCUUAAUGCUCCAAAUAGGGUGAAUGACCCUAAUGCUUACAGCAGGCCAAAGCAAAACUAAAUCUUCCGUGUGCAUAAUUGAGGCUGGGUUUGAUCUUAGGUAGCUGCCCCGACUCACUGAAGAAGCUACCCUUGGCUUUCAGGGACACCGUUCUCUCGCUGUGAACAUUAUUACAUCUAAUAUGUUCAGACUUUUCUGUGCGUAUCAAUGACCUGGGGCAUGUACUAAAAUGCGGAUUUACAGGUCACAUGCCAACAAUUUAGAUCUGUAGGUCUGCAGGAUAGUGGGGAAAGGGGAGAAGGGUCCAGGAAACUGAAGUUUUUAAAAUCACCUUGCUAGGUGAUACAGAUGCAAGAGGGGUUUCCAGACCACACUUUCAAGGUGACCCAGGGGACUACAAACGGGAUGGACUAGCUGAGCUCAGCUUUGGGUAGGGCUGUGGACUUGGAAGAUUCUUGCAUCUUUCUCUGUAGAACAGUGCAGCUACUCCACCACCCCCACCCCCUACCUGCCACCAGCCAAAUCCCUGACCUGGUUAGGCAUGAAGGGACCACUCGCUUUCAGGAACAGGUGACGCUACUCACCUGGCUGAUGUCACUGGUCCACGCUGCCUUCUCCUGUCUGGACGAGGCCACUAGGAUGACUGUAAAGGGCGGGGAAUCCUUUGGCUCCACCCCGAUUUUAAAAUCCAAGUGAUCUAUGUCUUGGCCGGAUCCUUUGGCUUCCAGUUGUAAAACAUAAAGUUAGCAGCAUGAAUGUGGACGCCUUUUCAGGUGGAAAAUGUUUUAGUGGUCCCUGUCGUACGUACCAGUGGAGGCUCUGCGUUGGUAAGGCACCAGGCCAAUUGCUGCUACUUUCAGAAUAUUAUUUUCCUAAGUGGGAAAUCCCCAUUUCAAAGAUGGAAGAACUAAGACGUAGCUUACAACCACUCAGGGGCAGUUCCGGAUUCAGAGCAGGAGAGCCUUUAGGAAUCACAGUCUGCCCUCUGCCCUCAUUACACCAAUGGAGGUGAGGUCACGGGCGAGGACUUGCCCAAGGCUCCCAGCAGGGUGGUGGCCAAGCCAGGGCAGGGCUAGAAUGGGCCUCUCAGCCAGGCCCUCCUGCUACCCCAAGGUGGUUCUGGGGCCAAAUGAGGAACUUCAAGGUCUUAAACUUUUAUGGAUUGGGCUGGACAUUUAGUUCAGUUUAGAGCUCCCCAAAGCAAAAGUGAAUUCUAGGUAUUUUUGUUACUGCUCUUAACCUGAAAGUCCCUUGAAGUCUUGAAAGCUGUUUAUUUGGAAAAACUAAAACCACAGCUUCAAGAUUCUUUUCAAUGCACUCACAUUAAUUAGGGGUGCACUGAAUGGGUUCAUGGUGUAAAGGGCCUGCUUUGGUUCUGCUUUGCUCCAAAGCUCUAUGGCUGUGUGAUGUUGAGGUGGUUUCCUUCCCCCUCUGGGCUUCAGAUGUCCUCCUGUGCAACAGGAGUGGGACUUGAUUUCUCUGAGGUUCCUGUCCCUUCCAGUUCUGACACCUGAGAAUUUUAGGAGUCCUUGCUGGGCACGAGGGAGCCCAUUCUCCUGGGACUGUGCUGGAGUCUCUGAGAAGUGGGUGCCUGUGUGUGGGUGUGUUUCAGGUGGGGAACGCUUGUGGCCAGGAUCCCACCUCCCUGGGCCUAGGAGGGUAAAGAGUUUUGGGGCCUGACAGUGCCACUUGAGCCUGGGUUUUCCUGUGGACCUGCUGUGGCCAAGAUGAAAGAAGGCUGCACUGGUAGGAAGGCUCCAGGUGAAGAAAUGAAGACAGAGAAGUUGCAUGUCUUGUUCAAGGUCCGCUGGCAAGUUAGCAGUGAGUCUGGAGAGAGCCUCAAGGGCCCGAUCCCAGUCCUGGCAAAGCCUAAUUCCCUUCCUCUUGAGUGUGAGCUGGACUUAGUGGCUUACAUCUAAUUAAAAGAAUAAAUCAGAAGUGAUGGUGUGCCACUUUGGAGACCACAUUCUCCUGCUUGCUCUCUUGCUGUCUCUUGCAUCACCUGUUGUGGGGGACACCAACUGGCAUGUUGUGGGGAGAGGUCUAUGAAUGAGGAACUGAGGCCUCCAGCCAACAGCCAUGGAGGCAUAUCAUCUUGGAAAAGGAUACCCCGGCCCCAGUUGAACCUUCGGAACACUGCAGCCCCAGCUGACAUCUUGACUGCAAACCCCUGAAAUGCCCUGAGCCAAGACCACCCA